GGCUUGAUGAGUGGUGCUAGAUCCGUGCCCAGGAUCGGAACCAGCGAAACCCUGGGCCGCCGAAGCAGAGCAGUGGAGGAAAGUGAAGUUCAGAAAACCUCAGGGACUUGCCAAAGGCUGACAUCCAGCUGAGAAGAGAGCCGGUCUAGUCUGGGCUGAGAGGUUUCUGCAGGGACGGGAGCAGGUCUGGGCAGAGGCAGCGCACCCUAGAGAGCUGCUGCUAGCCAGAGCGGAGGGCGAGGCGCUCCUGCAAACGUCUACAAAGGCCUCGUUUUUAUCCAGAAAGCAAGAAGUGCCCUGAAAACCCAGUUCUUUCACAGGGAAACUAAUGUCCAGAGAAUAUUAAGAAACUGAAGCUUCCAGGGCCAACUCCUUGACUUCCUGACGUCAGAGUCUACCUUCCACCGUGGAGAUAAGCAGCCAAGGACACUCACCUGAGAAAUCCUUUGUCUCCUCCACUGGAAGCAGCUGCAGACACACGCCGAUGGGAAAAGGCUGACCAAGAAGGCCACGGCCCCCCUCCCCUACCUAAAACCCCAAAUAAAAACCCCUACCUGUUUCUUAACAGGGAGCUAGCAACUUUUGAGGCACUAGCUCUUGCUUUGCUCCCUCUGCCUGGCAAAGUAAAGCCUUU
rnacentral:lncRNA from 1 species